rnacentral:tRNA from 1 species
UGCCCCUUAGUCUAAUGGUAGGAUAAGCGACUCUGACUCGCUGUGUGGGGGUUCGAAUCCCUCAGGGGCAACCA